UUGCUGUGAUGAUAACUACAGUUCAUUGAUUGCAUUUAUGCAAAUGCUUUAUGAUACUUCGGCAGUAAUGUCGAACCUGAGCGGUUACCUGAGCAA